GUUUAAAAUUGUUAUUGAAAUUAAUAGGAUGAAUCUUAAAUCCUAAUAAAAUCCUAAACCCUGAAUCAAACCCUAAACAAACCUUAAACCAAAUCCCAACCAAAUCUCAAUCAAAUUCUAAAACAAAUCCUAACCAAAUCUUGAACCAAAUCCUAAACUUUAAAUCAAACACUAACCAAAUCCUAAUCUAAAUCCAAAACCCUAAAUUAAACCCUAAUCCAAACUCUAAAUCCUAAAUCAAAUCCUAACCAAAUCCUAAUCUAAAUCCUAAAUCCUAAAUCAAAUCCUAACCAAAUCCUAAUCCAAAUUCCAUCUCCCAUACAAUCUCCCAUACAAUCAAUUCCUAACAUUUCAUAUUGUUAUCAUUUUUCCGGCAGCGGCGCCAAAAUGUUGUUCUCGUUGUAUUCAAGCUCAAUAUACCAAAGCAAUUGAACUAAUAGAGUUGGGUUCGAAUACAAGGAAAGACUGGUUAUAUGAAUUGGGUCUAUUAGUAUCACAAUUGACUGUACUCUAGCUAUCUAAAAUCAAUUAUCAAACUACAAAACACCAAGGCUUACUACUUCCCUCUUAAUUCAACACAUAAUCCAUUCUACGACUAUCAAUUCAACAAUACUUCCAUAUUCUUAUCAGUUCAUCUUCCACUUACUUACUUUCUGGUUUAUAUAUAUUCAAUUACUGAUCUCCAGUUUACUUAUUAUAUUCAAUUUCUCAAUUCAUCACACAGAAUUCAAUAUCUUCACUUAAUACAACACAAUUCGAUAAUCUCAAUUCUCAAGGUCAUAGAUUUUCUCCAAAAUGGUCAGUCCAAAGUCAUAUUCUACAAUAUUCUAAUCAUAAUUUUAAUAAUACUUCUCUCAAUCACAAUUCUUCAUAAGAAAGUAAUAAAAGCAAAGAAAACAAAGAGGUAGCACCAAGCUUACCUCGACUUAUGAGUCUCACAAUCUGGCCCUGA
rnacentral:lncRNA from 1 species